CCACCACAGACAACACCGAGGAGCCGAACCACAGGCUCCACUGGCUGCCCAGGUUGGACAGGAGGGUGACCAUCUGUGAGAGGAGAGGUCAGAGAGACAGGAACCAGGAGGCCACGACUGGAAAGUCCAGGCAGAAGAGAACUGCGGAGCCAGCCCAGGGAAGGACAGAAGUGGAAAAGUCACCACAGACAGGAACAAGCUUCCUGGCACACGACUUCCCUGCCAAACAACUCAACUGUAGUCAAAAGGAAAGAGAUUUGUCUAGUCCUAUACCAGGAUAAGGAGGAGAUUCCAAGUCUCUAAAGCUGCAAGAGAAGCAAGUUCAGGAAGACCCGCAAAGGGACCUGGCAACCCCUGAGCUGGAAUCUGGAGGCAGGAGGAAGACCUGGGACGGGAUUCCUCUCAUGCCUGGAACGGACUAUGUGGCACCUAUUGGGGAGAGACAGCAGGCAGGACCCCUCCCAGCAGCUCUAGGAGGUGAGCUCAAGGUAAGUACAGGUGAGUGGCUGAAGCAGAGGGCGCCAUGGAGCAAGCAGGGAGCUUCUCACCGU